AAUUGGGAGGAGUCUGGCAGGAAGGAAGCCAAGUUUCCUGAGGCCCUCACCAGAAGCUCAUCAGAAGCAGAUGCUGGCACCACUCUUCUUAUGCUGUCUGCGUAACUAAUCAGUAUUUCAAGCAUCCAAAAUGUGUAGGAGAAUAUGGACCCAAGAACGGAGCAGAGAGACAAAUAGAGGAACGGAAAGUUUUGCCUACAACCAUGAUGUUCUCAAUGUUAGCUGACUGUGUUCUAAAAUCCACUCCAAUUCCCAUUUUGGGAGUUGCUAUGUGAUGAAGGUCUGCCCCUGUGGUGUUGGGACAACUUGCUCAUGGAGUUGCAGUUCUUGCCUAACAGGAACCCACCAUGGUAAGAAAAAGACUCAAGCUGGUUUAUUUGUUUUUAAGGUUGCAAGGUAAUCAAGUCCAUAACCACACUUGCUCUCACAUUUACCAAAAUAGGCCAAUCUCAGAACUAAAUGAUAAAAAUGAAAAUUAAUCAGGGACUCCCAUGGGCCUCACAUAUAUGGCAGUUUUGAAUCUGUUCUUUUUUUCACUAUCAUAAUUGUUUUUUUAAACUCAUUUUCUCUGCUUGAAUACACAACUGUAAAAAAAAGUGGGGGUAGUGGUGGUGAUAGAAAUGAAUAAACCCAUGGAAACAGUGAGACAUCUACAGAGACAAAAUUAGGAA
rnacentral:lncRNA from 1 species